UACCAUGAACAGUAACAUUUUUUAUAUCUAAUGCCAGUUUUACUUUUUCCUUCUCUUGGGUGUCAUACCUCUAAUUUAAAAACACUAUUCUACCCUUAUACAAUUGAGAUCAGUUUUGUUUUUAUUUUUAUUUUUUUUCUUUCACAUAAAGCUAUACUAUUUAACACCUACCAAACUUUUCAGUGCUUCUUUUCACUUUCAUUUUUUUUUUAAUUUCUUUCUCUGCAACUCUCUCUUUUUUGGGUAUUAAUAUCUGUUUUUAAUCUAGUUUGUGAUGAAAUUGUUCGACUACAACGAUGAAUAACGAUGCUUCAUUCUAAGUAUGUGGUCCACGCUAGCAGACUAGAUCCAUUUUUCCAGCCCAUUUUUUCUCUAUCAAUGGACCAGAUCUAAU
rnacentral:lncRNA from 1 species